GAAGCUGUAGCUCAGUAGUAGAGCACUUGUCUGGCAUGCUCAAGUCCCUGGGUUCAUCCCCAGUACCUCCU
rnacentral:tRNA from 1 species